rnacentral:lncRNA from 1 species
GUUAUGAUCUCUACUCAGGGCAUUAAAUAUACAGUGUGGGACUGUAGUUCAAAGACCACUUCUCAAUCCAAAGAUCAAACUGGUCUUCUCACUGUACAUUAAAAAACACCUUUUUGCAUCUGUUAGUAAAAUAGGAAGAAUUCAUGAAAGAGUUUUUUGGGACAGUAGCCACAGGAAUUUACAGAAGCUAAAAUUAAAUUUCUUGGUGAUGAAGACCACUAAAAAGCUUAUUUCAGGACAAGUAGCAAACAGGUGCUGUGUGGUGGGGAAGGAGUAUCCCAUGUGGUCACAGCCCUUUCUCAUAACAACAGCUUCAGAACAAGACAGUAAGAACAGGCUCUGUUUGUGCCAACAUGUAUUAUUCUUGCUUGACUUUUUUAUGUCUUCAUAAAAUACAGACCGUUUGCCUUAAUGAAAAUCUAACCUAACAUGCCACAAGAGUGAUUUAAAGGCUAGGAAAGACAUAUUGAGAUAAAUGGAUUAUAGCUCUACACUCGACACCAUUCGCUUCCCACUACUAACUUCAGACUCCUGAACACUGGACAACAGAAUCGUGGAGAUUUUCCAUCAAACCCGGGCUAUUGUGGGAAGGGCUUUCUUUCUAGAAUCCCAGUAAGAAUUCCAUCAUUACAGUUAGUGCAUGGUUCAUCAUUCCGCACUUCACUCACGGGAGUCCUCACCGCUAACAGGACCAGGAAAUGGGCCGAGAUGCUGCAAGAAUCUGACUCCAGUUCACUGAAUCGGCCAUCAUUUAUGAGAGUGCUCACUAAACAAACGGCUGUGUGCUUGUCAGAGGAAAAAACGAGACGUUUUGUUCAUCUGCACGUAACCUGCCACAGUUAUGAAGGGCCAGAGGUUUGCAGGUGGGUCUCUGAACACCGUCCCCGCUGCCACCUCCAGCCGAUGAGGAGGAAGUAGCUGCCUCCCUCCAUGGCUUUCUCUAUCACCAAAGCUUUGGCGGAAGGAGAAACUCAGCUGUGGUGCUACUAAGGGUCGACAUCUCUGAAUUUGCCACUUUAGCUCCCAGGAACACAAGUCAGAAGUAUCCCUCCUUUCCAGAGGCAAAGGCCCCCGUGAAUGCUCAGCUCGCCAGCUCUCCUUCAAUUCCAGCUCCUGCUGCAGGGCUGGACCCAGCUUGUCUAAGUAGUGCCAUCAAACCUUCAUGACUGCCUCUCACUGAGGUCUCUCAUGCAGGCCCAACCACACAGGCAAGAGCG